UCCGAUAUGGUCUAGUGGCUAGGAUUUGCCGCUCUCAUCGCAGAGUCAGUUCACUCGUUGCAGUGCCGGCAAGGCCCGGGUUCGAUUCCCGGUGUCGGAA
rnacentral:tRNA from 1 species